rnacentral:rRNA from 1 species
AUUGAACGCUGGCGGCAGGCCUAAUACAUGCAAGUCGAGCGGAGCGGCGGACGGGUGAGUAAUGCCUAGGAAUCUGCCUGGUAUUUGCGGAUAACGUCCGGAAACGGGCGCUCAUACCGCAUACUAUCAGAUGAGCCUAGUUCGUAUUAGCUAGUUGGGGAGGUAAAGGCCUACCAAGGCGACGAUCCGUAACUGGUCUGCGAGGAUGAUCAGUCAAACUGGAACUGAGACACGUGCCAGACACCUACGGGAGGCAGCAGGGGGGAAUAUUGGACAAUGGGCGAAAGCCUGAUCCAGCCAGGCCGCGUGUGUGAAGAAGGUCUUCGGAUUGUAAAGCUCUUUAAGUUGGGAAGCGGUACCAACAGAGUAAGCACCGGCUAACUUCGUGCCAGCCGCGGCGGUAAUUC